UGAGGAAUUUUGCGCAAUGGGGGAAACCCUGACGCAGCAACGCCGCGUGAGUGAUGAAGGCCUUCGGGUCGUAAAGCUCUGUCAGGCGGGAAGAAAGUGUUCCGUAAUAAUAUUACGGGAUAUUGACGGUACCGCCGAAGGAAGCACCGGCUAACUCCGUGCCAGCAGCCGCGGUAAUACGGAGGGUGCAAGCGUUAUUCGGAUUUAUUGGGCGUAAAGGGCGCGCAGGCGGCCCGUUAAGUCAGAUGUGAAAGCCCCCGGCUUAACCGGGGAAGUGCAUUUGAAACUGGCAGGCUUGAGUAUGGGAGAGGAAAUCGGAAUUCCUGGUGUAGCGGUGAAAUGCGUAGAUAUCAGGAGGAACACCGGUGGCGAAAGCGGAUUUCCGGACCAAUACUGACGCUGAGGCGCGAAGGUGCGGGGAGCAAACA
rnacentral:rRNA from 1 species